GGGCCCGUAGCUCAGCCAGGUAGAGCGCCCGGCUCAUAACCGGGUGGUCCGGGGUUCAAAUCACCGCGGGCCCA
rnacentral:tRNA from 1 species